UGCCUUUCUUUUCCUUCAGGUCACAGAAUUCAGUUACAAUGGGGAACGUUUUUGAAAAACUGUUUAAAAGUCUAUUUGGGAAAAAAGAGAUGCGGAUUCUUAUGGUGGGUUUGGAUGCCGCUGGAAAAACCACCAUCUUAUAUAAAUUGAAGCUGGGAGAGAUUGUGACUACCAUCCCUACGAUAGGUUUCAACGUGGAGACGGUAGAAUAUAAAAACAUCAGCUUCACAGUCUGGGAUGUUGGUGGCCAGGACAAAAUCAGACCUUUGUGGCGACAUUAUUUCCAGAACACACAAGGUCUGAUUUUUGUGGUCGACAGUAACGACAGAGAGCGGGUCAAUGAAGCCCGAGAAGAACUAACCAGAAUGUUAGCAGAAGAUGAGCUCAGAGAUGCAGUUUUAUUGGUGUUUGUAAAUAAACAGGAUCUUCCCAAUGCUAUGAACGCAGCAGAGAUAACGGACAAGCUUGGCUUACAUUCCCUCCGCCAGAGAAACUGGUACAUUCAGGCUACCUGUGCCACCAGUGGAGAUGGGCUUUACGAAGGCCUGGACUGGCUCUCCAACCAGCUCAAAACCCAGAAGUGACGGGAAGUGCUGCGUUCCCUGUGCGUCGUGGCAAAGUCAGCUGGCCUCUGCUGUGUGCGUGUGUGCGUGGGAGGAGCUGAGUGUGGGUGCGUGGCCGGGCGUGGGAGCAGCUUUCUCACAUGGUGCCUUAUACGCCCUCUAAGGAAACCAGUCCUACAUGGUACAAACAAGCAGUGUUUGCAUUUUAUAUGCUCCCUUCCAUUUCCAUAGCUUUGGCGACCAGUUUUGCAGUCGACGGAGGAGUCACGAGGGCUCCCUGGUGCCCGAUAGCCAGAGUGGUCUUCGUGGUGGGAAGAAGGGGGAGGGUGAGCCGUGGACUGACUUCCUUGGUGUGGUUCUAGUCCAGGUCUGGGGGUCUCUGCACACCUGGGGGUCCUGUUAGACUUGGCAUCCUUUCGUAAAUAGGAAGGAACUGUCAUUCUUUCCCAUCACUGCCAGAGCUAGCAGCUCACUUUUCAGUGCUUUAAAGCAAAUGAUCCUCAAAGACAAAAAGGCCCUUGCUUACCGCAGAUGUUAAGUUGUUAAGAUGUUAAGGUGUUAAGAUCUGAGCUUAAGUUAUUUUCUAGCCCAGACACCCUGGUUUAAUGUACUUCAUUGGGAGGAAUCAGUGAUCUUUUUUCAUUAGAAAAAACCCCCGUAACAGGAGAAAUCAUCUAGUCCUUCCCUUCCUUGCCUCGUAUUUGCCAAAUGGAGACCCUUUUGGGGUAGGAACCCAGCGCACGGCCGAGGCUCUUUACCGAAGCCGCGCCGCCGCUCACAGGGCCGGGUUAAGGCGGGGAGGCGCCGUCGUGUUUGUGUCCCUACAUCGCUGUCUCCUGAGGCUGCCGCUCCCACGCCUCUGCGCUGAGUGUUCUCCGCUCGAAGCAGGAGCUUCGCUCCCGGGAUGGAAUCGUCACCGUGUACAGUAUCUUAGCCCAUCCUGCAGUUUAGGUUAGCUGUGUUCCCAGAACCACACACCUGUGAGUUCUGAGAGUUUGUGAGAGAAUCAAGAUGUUCAUUCGGGGAACGAGACUCCCAGCAGCCGAGUCGGUUGGUGCUAAAUUUUGCUAUGAAGAAUGUCUCGUCCAGACCACUCUCCGUGGCACUGACUCCCUCUCUGGUUGGCAAUAGUGUCUUCCGUGGAAACGUGCUUUACGUUGUCCUCAAAAUCGUCACAAUGGCCUGGAAAUGAGCUGGAUUCACUCAAUAGUCUAGAGCUCUUUUGCCCAGGCAGCUGUUGGCCACAUUUGUACCCAAGCUGUUCCACUACUACCUUCUAAAAUUCCUUUUUUCAAAAAAAAAUCUUCAUUUCAGAUUACAGAGGAGGAGAAUGUAAGAUGAAUUUUAACAAAAGUAAACCUUGUUUACUGAUAACAAUGAAGUUGCUCUUACUGGGAAGAAAUUUCAUGCCAUGAUAAAUGCGGAGUUUUUUCUUUAAAACAUUGACUUUAAAGGAUGUUCCUUGCAAUACUGGCAACGAAGUCCAGAUUUGAUUUUUAACCAUGGAGUUAAGUCCUGAGAAAGAUUUAGAUUGUAUGCCUCAGACUGGCAGGGACUGUGUCUUAGACUUUUGUGUUUAUGCUUUUGGUACCGUGUAUGUGGUACAGUGCUGUGCCUCAUUCAACACUUGUUGAUUGGUUGGACAGUAAAGAACUUGCCCUGGAGGAGGAGAGGACAGCCAUGUGCUUCUGGAUGUCUCGAGCUACUACUUUAAAAUCCCUUUCCCUCUCCAUCUUAGCAGACUUGCUAUUGAAAACUCCCAGGGCACUUGUACCAAAGGCAGAACCCACAGAGGUGCUGUCCUGGCCCUUCUGCUUUUAGCAGUGCUCUCCAUUCUUACCUUACGUGACACUUUCAACCACUGUCUUUCUGUGAAUUUGGAGCUGGUCAUUUGCGGUUUAUGGGGGGGCACUUCAGUGUAGUGGGUUUGAGCAAAGACUGGGUCCCUGAAAGCCAUGUUCACGUCCCGGCUGUGUCCUCACUAGCUGCUUGGCCUCAGGCCUGUUACUCUUUGACUCUGUAUCUCUGAGCCUCAGUUUGCUUAACUCUUAAAUGAGGAUAAUACCUACCUCAUAGGGUUGUGAGACCUUUGUAUGCCUUGCCUGGUGUUUCCCUGGGGGAUAUCUUGAUGUCUAAGGUGUGAACAGCAGUGCUGGCCACAAACUGAUCAGUAUUAUUUACAGGAGCAGUGAAGUGGGAUGGGAUGGGGGGCUAUGUUUAAUCUUUCGCACUCUAUUCACCUAAUCCUGCUGAAUCCUCUGUUCUUUUCUAACCAUAAGACCAUUUGGGAUGCUUGUUUAAAAGACCAUAUUGCUGUGUCCCACACUCACUGUUUUUCUUUUUCUUUUUUUUUCUUAAGUGUGAUUUUUAGCAUAUUCCCAGAGUUGUGCGACCACCCUACUAAUUUUAGACUAUGGUCAUCACCCCCAGAAGAAACCCUGGAUCCAUGAGCAUCCAAUGCCUAUUCCUCCCUUCCCCAUGGCCCCCCUGGCCACCACUAAUUUACUUCCUAUUUCUGUGGAUUCACCUAUUCUGGGCAGGUGAGGGACCUGGGGAGCUGGUGGGUGCUUUGGGAAGUGCUGAGGUGCUGUUGGUCGGAACACAGCUUCAGUCCUGAGGCAUCAGCCUGAUGACAGAUGAGGCAGAGCCCCAGGGAAAAGACUGCCCCAGAGUUAGGUGACUGGAAUUUAUUACCUUGAGAGGGAAAGAGGUGCUUCUAAUAAUUAUGCAGGGACAUGGGGCAUAAAAGGGGAUGUAUGGUCGCCCUAUCAAUCGGAAUGGCGAGAGCUCUGAAUCUGGAAUCAAAGGCCAAGGCUGAAAUUCGAGCUCUGCUCGUUCGCUAGCUGGAUUCAACUGGACUCAACCUCUGACUCCCAAUUUCCUUGCCUGGGAAGGAAGUUCCCAGAGCCGUACUCCAGCACAGUUUUCAUUCAACAAACACGUAUGAAGGGCCUGCCACAUGCCAGACACUGGGGAGGGGAGGGUUUGGGGCCACAGAGAUGGAAUAUACAGUGAGCCCUGGACAGGACUCUCCAAAGCUGUGAUCUGUCCACCCUGCUGCUGUUUUUACCAUUGCUACCAUGGAGCCGGUCGCCCGGGCCCUGAAGACUGGUCCAGCCCAGCCCCCAUAGAGACAGGGCUGCCCCCGCCCUUAGACUCCCUGGAGAGCUGGCGAUUCUGCGGAGGGGCAGGGGGCAGCAGAGGUAAGCGUCUGGCUGGGAAUGAAUGGGGCUGGUGGCUGACAGCACGGGCCGUCAGAUCCGGAGCUCCUCAUCCAGGGACAGCGUGCCUCUGCCCUGCUAAUGACAGAACUGUCACUCACAGGACACCAUGGAAUCAUGCAGGACCAGACACGGCUGUCUCUCCCCUGACAGGGUGACACAUGUCACGGGGGCCUGGGGAGCUCCGAGGGGAGAGUUGGGAUACCCUCCCCCCAAUCGGGUCACACAGAAAUGUCCUUACACACCUCAGUGCCUUUGCACAGGCCGUUCGCUCUGCCAAGCCUGCCCUCUCCUACCUCGGGCCUUCUCCAUCCAAUGGUGACUCACGUGUCAUUCAAGGCUUGGUUCCCGGGUCACCUCCUCCGGGAAGCCUUCAGUGCCCCAGGAUGGAAGGAAUCCCUACCUUCUCCGCGCUGCUCUGUCGUCCACAGUGGUCACGGUUCCUCUUUUUGGUUGGUGAUCAGCUGGUUUCAGUUCCUGUCCUUCAUAUUGCCGAUGUUUCUCGAGGUCUUGGUUAUCCUUUGCAGUCCACUAAUAUUUAAGAGUAAAGUAUUAAGAAGCCAUCUGGACAUUCUCUGCACGGGUGUCAUUUGUCAGUUGAUGAGCUUCACCAUAGGAGCUCUGUAGAGGCCAUUUCUUUGGGGUUCCCCAAAUGUCAGUAGCGGGUCUUUUCGAGGGGCCAUUCAGUCUCUCCAAAGAAGGAUCAAGCAACUGCCUCUCUGGGGUGGGGGUGGAUGAAUGCGGUGGCACCGUGCAAAUCAGUUGCCAAUAUCCUUGGAGCUGUGUGGCACUGGGGACUGGGGGUACAACCAUUUGUAGAUAGGCUUUCAUUUAGUCCUCCUAUUUUCCCUCUGGUGCCUGUCUCCUCUACUGUUCCUGUUGAUUUGGGCUUUUUUUUUUUUUAAGAGGUAUUUAAGUUUUUAAAAUUAAUUAAUUUAUUUAUUUUUGGCUGUGUUGGGUCUUUGUUGCUGCGUGCAGGCUUUCCCUAGCUGCAGCGAGCGGGGGCUACUCUUCAUUGAGGUGCGCGGGCUUCCCACCGCGGUGGCUUCUCUUAUUGCAGAGCACGGGCUCUAGGCAUGUGGGCUUCAGUAGUUGUGGCACACGGGCUCAGUAGUUGUGGCUCACGGGCUCUAGAACGCAGGCUCAGUAGUUGUGGCGCACAGGCUUAGCUGCUCCACGGCAUGUGGGAUCUUCCCGGACCAGGGAUCAAACCCGUGUCCCCUGAAUUGGCAGGUGGAUUCUUAACCACUGUGCCACCAGGGAGGUCCCGAUUUGGGCUUUAGACUCAAUUUCUCCACUGAAUAAACCCCCUGCUGGGGUAGGGAAAGGUGAUCGAUCACCUAGCUGCACCAAAUGGGUGUGGGGACCUUGGGCAUCUUUCUACUGAUCCCCCAGUUUCCAGCUGGGCUGAACUUGUCCAGUUUUCAUUUCUACAACUCAUCCUUGUCUUUUGCGGUCCCCGGUCGGUGCCUGCAAUCCCUGUGUCUUGCCAAGAUUCCACAGCUUGAACUGGCUCCAUCCUCAUUAGCACCACCCCCCCCCCGCCCCCGUGUAGGCACAUGGUAUUCAGAUUUCUCAGCUCUGAUCAUUCCUCCACCUGCUUUCCAUCUUCCAAAAAUCUGUUGACGUCUUUUGCCUUCUGCUAGUUUUUUUUUCUCUUAUUCUUUUCAUUCUUGUGGGCUUAUACCUUUUUUAUACCUUGACGCGCAUUUUAGUGGAGUUUCAGAAAGAAACAAUGAUAAAUCCAUGUGCUUGAUUUGCCAGGUUUAACCUGUGGGAUUAAAGAUUUUUCAUGCUAUAUUGUGUUUUUGCAGCUAUAGACAUAAGGAAAAACAAGAGGAGGUCUCCUGUGUUCUAUACCAAAUAUGUUACAGAGUCUCUUCUUAUCAGAGCGAUCUUUCGAAUCUGGGUCACUGGUUCUUAAAAAAGAUGCGGGAAGCUGAGGGAAAUCCUGAGAAAGGAGCCUGAGACGAUCAAAGGGAUGAACUUUGGAUCCAGGGGAACGUUUGAAGGUGUUGGUGAUGUUUAACUGGGAGAGGAGGUUCAGGGAUGGUUUAGUGAUUCAUUUGAAUUCAUUUUCCUUAAAGUGAUUUCUGUCCCGAUGCAUCCCCCGCUCUCCUACUUUGUGUUCGUGUGAACUUCUAAGUUGCCAUGGAAGAGGCAACCUAAACUUGAGAGGGUGGGGGUUGGGGGGGAGAGACCAAGACUGUAUUAAUCAGGAUAGGUUAGGCUACGCUGCGGUAAUAAUUCAAUGCUGGAAUUUCAGUGUCUUAGCACAGUAAAGGUUCAUUCCUCUCUCAUUUCGCCAUCUUGUCCCUGCUUGGUAGCGCCCUCCAGGAGGUGGCUCGGGGACCCAGGCUCCAUCCAUCUCACAGCUGUAUCAUGUGGAAUACACAUUUUUCCCAAGGUUCUCCAGAAGGGGAGAAAGAACUGGAAGAUCAUGCAAGAUGUUUUUAAGGGCUGAGACUGGAAGGGGUUUAUAUCACUUUUACCCAUAACCAUUGGCCAGAACUCUGUCAUAUGGUCCCACGUUACCUGUAUGGGAGGAUGGGAAAGGAGGUCUUCCUGUGUGCUCUGGAGGAGGAUGCAGUGUUUUAAGGAUGUUGCAUUGUCUUUGCCUUCUGUUUACUAGGUUUUCUGAGGGAGAUGCCAAUAUUCUUAGGGGAAGGGGAAGUAUGGACUGUAUCCACAAAGCCUGAAAGGAGGGAAUGAUAUUCAAUUAAAGUAGGAGGCAGCAGUCAGACUUAAAGAGAACUUUCUUGAUUCUAAGGGAAUCAAACAUUAGAAAGGGCAAUUGAGAGGUGACAUCUACCUUUGCAGAUUCCUGAGAAAAGAGUUCCUGGGAGUUGAUGGAUCUACCUGCUUGAGGGAUGAACCAGAUAAUCUUUUGGAAUUCCAUCUAAUGCUGGGAUUCUCCUUUCAAAUAUGCAGGCCUCAGAGUUUGUAAAGCUGGAGAACAAGGACCAGGGGUGGAUCCAGGUUUUGUGAAGCCUGAAGUUUAUACCACUUUGGGUGCAAGUAGAGGGCCUCAAGCAUAAACUUAUUAGCUUUCUGAUAAGUCCUCCUCUGGCCAGGAGAGGCCCAUUGUUCACUGGAACCAAUAGAUUCCAACACACCUUCCCCCAACAGACUUGCUCUUCCAGAUUCUAGAUCACCCUCAUGAUUUUUUCCUAGCUCUUUAACUGAGCAAAAAGUCGUUGAAUGCAUACCGUGUACAAGGCACGGGGCUGGGCCCUUCAAUAUCUGCCUCUGUCACAGGGCUGAGUUGGGCAUCAGCCCAGGGGUUGUCGGUCCUGAUUUGAGAAGCUCCUGGGUCUGUGCAGGCAGCUUCAGGGCAAAGGAGGAGGAGGAGGACGGGCACAGAAAGCCAGAAGGGAGAGCAGGGCCACAUGUGACCUGAGGACACGGGCAUUCAUCUGUGGACGUCAAAGCCCUGUGCUUGGAGGAGAAAUCCAUGCUGCUCUCUGUCUUGCUUCUAAAAGGAAAUGUUCCUGCAGAAGCCUGCUGUGGAUUGGGAGGCUCGGCUGUUUCCUGCGGCCCCCCGCCCCCGCCCCGUCAGACACAUCACUCCUCUCUAGGGGCCGAAGUAGAGUGUCACCGCAAAGAGUCAGCAGUCUGCGCUCAGACACUUGGUCUGGAGCCCAGCUGUCAGCCCUGUCCCCACUGCUAUCCCCGGCACUGUCUGGGCCUUUCUGAGCUGAUCGAACUGCGGUGUCUGGGAAACUCCAGAGCAAUGCUAAGUCCUGUAUACAACCUCCAAGUGUUUUAUUUUCUCUUAGAAUUUUUAACCAGCAGAGUCACAAACCAGCAGUGGUUUCUAGUCAGAAGACCAGGCCACUGAUUUGCUGGACAACUUGACAGACACUUUCAUCUCCCUGGGCCUCUUUUUCCUCAUCUGUAAAAUUGAGAAAAUAACCCCUGUGAAGGGCGAUUUUGGUCACGGUGGCCAAUGUCACUAUGGGUCUGGGGGACGGGAGGGGACAUUGACAUCUCAUAGUUUAUCCUUUGGUCCAGCCGCACAGGUGCUAGCCAGGGGUCCCCAUCAGUUAGGUAGAAUGGAGGCAAUUGGGCAGGUAGGGUUCUUGGAAGGCCCAAAUUUCCUUUAUGGUUUGUGACGUUCUCACAUGGUUUGCACCGGGCCGUGGUCUGGCAAGGCUGGACGGAAGGAAUAAAAACAAUCAACUUCCUUAAAGUGACUUGCUUGGAAAUUUUUACCUGGAGACACACUGUACUGAACAGACCUGAAAAAGCAUUUUGGAAGCCUUCCUAAUGAAGCAAAUGCAAAACAACUCACGUUAGAUAUACCUCCAUGGAAGAGGACUAUUAGGGGAAGAAGAGAGGUUUUCUCAGGCGGAGAAGGUGGGCCGAGGAGGAGGCGGGGGAGAUGUCGGAGUGGCCAGAGAAGGCGUGGGGAGGCUGAUUUGGGGUCCCCUCCAGGGUUCACUAUGACACCAAUUUCUACCCAGAAGCCCCAGAGCCCCGCCCUCUGCUGUUUACACUAGUUGCUUCCCAAACUUCUUGGGUGGACGUCUAAUUUGGGGUCUAAAUGACUUUGGGGCUUCAUUGAUGGACUUUGGGGGAUGCCAAACCAUUGAUAUAUGCAAAUUUCCUGUACGUGAAAAAGUUUCACGUGGCUGGGCUUCGAAUUUUUUCUGCAAAGAGGGGCCUGACUUUUCUCCCGAUUCUCCCACGGGUCGGGACCCAGGACAGAAACCCUCACUCUAGACCAGUGGUCCCCAACCUUUUUGGCACCAGGGAUCGGUUUCGUGGAAGAUAAUUUUUACACGGACUGGGGAGGGGUGGGGGAAUGGUUCAGGCAGUAAUACGAGCCUUGCGGAGCGGCAGAUAAAGCUUCGCUUGCCCUCCGCUCACCUGCUGCUGCGUGGCCCGGUUCCUAACAGGCUGCGGUACCAGUCCUGGGUGUUGGGGACCCUUGCUCUAGACCAUGCUGGGGGCCAGAGAAGGCGGGCAGCUGGUUCACUGGGAGGGUGGGAAAUAUAGGCCACUCCCAACUUUAGAGGGAGCUGGGGUACCCAAAGGAAGACGGAAACUUGAACCUCAGAACACAUUUUCCUCUAAGAGGCCUGCCCCUGUGGCAGUCAUGCUCGCUGGCAAGUAGCAAGAGCCUUCAAUGGAUGGACCCAUUCAGAGCCCCUGACUGGCACCCAAGGUGAGCCUGGGGCUGUGUUGGGUGUGGGGCACAGGAGGAAGAUUAGACAUGGUUCUUGUCUGCCCGUGUGGGACUCUCAAGUCUAGGGGCCUAGGUGCCCAGAGAAAUGACAAUACGAUGUGGUAAGUGCUAUAAAGGAAGGUAAAGAAAGGUCAGGCCACACCGAGGGAGGAAAGGUUAGCUCAGUCUGGAAGCUGGAAGGCCCCCUAGAAGUGGGAGUGCCACGGGCCUUAGGGCCUAAAAGACUGGGGUGUGAGACCAGGCUGUGUGACCUCUGAGAACCUCAGUUUCAUUUUCAGUGGAAUGUAAUGAGAACAAUUUAGAGUUGCUGGGAGAGUCAGAUGAAGUCAUGGUCACACAGCACCUCCCGGGAUUGGACCCUAGAGUGGGAUUUGGCUUUUGGAAAGACCUAGGAGCAGCACGGGCCGCGUGGGUAGAGGCAUGGCUCAGCAGGGUACAUUGCGCUGACUCAGCCAUGCUUCCCGCUGUGACUUGGAGAGACUGCUCCCUUUUGAUGGUUCUGCCCCCUGUGGACUCAAUGACUCAGCAAUUCUCGAUUCGAUGAUGCAGCAGUUCAAACAUUUGUGCAUACCGGUGAUUAAGCAAGAGGACUGUUUAUGAGAUAGGGCUACCGACAAUCAUAAUAAUUGUCGGUAACAAUGAUUGAGAGCUUCCUACGUGCCAGGCCCCGCAUGGUGUCUGUGGAUUAACUCAAGAUCAUUUGAUCAUACGAAGGGAAGAGAUUGGGACAACCCCCUCACCGGGGGCCUCCUGUCACCUUCGGUUCCAGUUCAUUCCUGCCCCGCCCCCAUUCUCACCCAAGCCUCCCCACCCCUGCCCCCCAUAAGCCAUGAUCCUCUCGUGAAAGUCCUAGGUCAGAGCCAGGAGGGACUCUGGAGAUGUGCCUCAUUUUAUAGAGCAGGAAACUAAAGCCCUUGAAAGGAAGGGAUGUGUUUUCUAGACCACAGAAAAAAGCCUCAGAGCCUAGCAGGUGCUGGAUGGAUCUAGGCAGGGGGCGGGGGUUAGCUUGAAUUUAAUGCCCACGUGAUCUGGGGUGGAGGUCUUCCGGGUGAGGUCAGACCGGUGAUACGCUGGGUGUCCCCGUGCUGCCCAGAUUCACAUCCGGGCCACUCUCCUUCCCAGCAGUCAUUGUCUUCAGUGACUCAGGCCACCUGGUUUCCCCUCAGGUCAAGCAGCUGAGGUGGGAGGCCCAGGCCUGUCCAGGGCUCCAUCUCAGGCCUUGUGGAUGCAGGAGACAUGGUCUGGGUGCCAUGGACACGGCGAUGCGUGAGGUGAUGGGAACUGCUCACUGCAACACUGUGUGAGGGACCAAACUGUCACCCACCUUGCGUCCAGCCUCAGUUCUUUUGGGGAUCUACCUAGGAGUGGAAUUGCUGGGUCAAAUGGUAACUCUGGGUUUACCUUUUGAGAAACUACUAAGCUGUGUUCCACAGAGGGUGCACCGUCUUACAUUCUCACCAGCAAAGUACAAAGGGUUCCAGUUUCUUCACAUCCUGGCCAACUUUUGCUAUUUUUAAAACAAGAUUCUUUUUCCUCUCUAACAGCGGCCCCUGCAGGGUCACCCCCAGCCCGUUUUGUUCUCUUUAGGACCUGAUCUCAAAUGGCCCCAUUCUCACUCCUGAGUCUCCUCAGCCCGAGUGUCGCUGCAGUAACUCAGGAACAAGGUGCUAAGGCAGCAGUUCUCAAAUUAGGCACAACAAGAUCCCCUGGAGGGCUGUUAAAACACACGCCGCUGAGCCCCACCCCUACAGUUUCUGAUUCCAGGGCUGCGGCCCUGGAAAAUGCAUUUCUAACAAAUUCCCAACUGGUGCUGAUACUACUGUCAGGGGACCGAUCUGAGAACUAGGCUUUAAGGUACUACUUUGCACGUUUUGUCCUAGGAGGUCCCUGCUUUGUUCUUUCCCCUCCUCAUUUAUAUAACAGUAGCACCCCCAUACCUCAAUUAUACUUUACACUCCCCCUCCCCCAGAUCUUGUGAGGCUGGAGGUAGGGAGGGGAGGGGAUAGGAGGGCAGUGAUUCUUCCUCUUCUUCAGUUCUCAGACCCUCAGCCCAUCUGCGCUGCUCCAUCUAGAAAGCGAGUGUCCCCUGGCUGACAGUAUCACAAACAUUGAGGUCCCAGUGUAGCCUUGGAUCAGCUUCAAUUGACGUUCCACUUUGGGUCUAUUCUUGGUGAGAGACUGAUACCUUAUUUAGUGUGUUAAAUGGCUGUUGGGAGUUGAGUGUGAUGAAGAUUGCCCUGGGAAUACUCCCCCGAGGCCUGGUGUGAGGGAAAAAGAACAAAAGCCUGGCCUCUCUUCUGGGGUGGAGGGCCUCUCAUCUGGGCUCUAGAACCUUCCACUGAAGCUCUGUCCGAGGCAGCCAGCUGCCAACCCCAGCUCCACUUCCUCUCCGCUUCCCUCCUCCCCUCCCCCCAACUCUAGCAUGGAGACCUUGACCAGCUCUUGGCUCCUGGAUUUGGCAAACAGAUUCCCGCAUCUCAGCUCCAGCCUGGAUGCCCACUUUGCGCUACAAAUCACUUCCUUUAUUUGGGCCUCUGUUUCCCCAUUGGUAAAAUGAAAGACUCGACUACAGCAAUGGUUUUCAAAGUGUGUCCCACAGAACCCAGGGUUCUGCUGAGGGUCAAGGUAUGUGUCAAAUCCAUCACCUCUGCUUAAUUAGAGUGGCCUCACUUGCCUUUAUGUCUUUGGGUUCUAUCUAAACAUCUUGAUCUCUGGUGGCCUCGGCCUGCAGCAUCUUGAAGCAGGAUUUCGGUUCCCUGGCCAGAGAUUGAAGUCGGGCUGCAGCAGCGAGGGCGCUGAAUCCUAGCCACCAGAUCACCAGGGACCAGUGGCCAGUGACGAUACCCUGACCUGUCGGCUUUGUAGAAAUGAAUUCCCACAAAGAGACAGAAAGUAGUGAAACAAGUAAAGUGUUUAUUAGAAGGAAAAUGGGUAUGUGUGAAUAGACACACAGGGGCGACUCAAAGAGAGAGUUGCGCCCUCGUGGUAGUUUGAAUCACUUAUAUGGGGCAUUUCUUCUGGGUUUUCUUUGGCCAAUCAUCUUGCUUUGCCUGGUUCUGAGUCCAUAUUUGGUUUAUCUCAGGAUCCUCCCCUGUGUACGUGUGCAUCUCUCAGCCAAGAUGGAUUCUAACGAAGAGGCCUAUGGGUAGGUUGACAUCACUUACUAUGGGGGAGGUUGAUGUCCCCUCCCUUUUUGACCUCCAAGGAGCCUUUCUGCGCAUGUGUAGUCAGGGAGGUCUCCUUGACUUUGAGAAUGAGAAAUAUGUGGUCUCUUAUCUGGGCAGGGCUCAGCUCCUCUCUCACUCUUGCUGUUAUGUUCAUCUUGGAGUAUCUUCAUCUUGGAGUAUCUGUCCACAGGGGACACUCCAGCUUCUCAGCCUGGGGCCCAUCUAUCUCCUGCCUCAAUCUCAUUUGGAAGACCAAAUUUCUGCUGCUGAAAAGUAGUUUGAAAAUCACCGGCUUAGAUGAUCUUGAAGGGUCUCCCCAUUCUGGUUUUAUCUUCUAUAUUCUGUAGUUCUUUGGCCUCUGUAUCUUUUUUCAAGUCCAACCUGUGUGUGACUCAGCCUUGAGAUUUUCCUUGAGCUUCUGAAAUUCGGUGCUCAGGAAGUGUGUUUCUUGCAGGACAGAGGUAGGGG